CAAAUUGGAACAGCUGUCACUUAAUGCAAUUGACACUUAACCUUGCACAUGACCCAUUUUAAUUGAAGAGUUGUUAACCCUAACAGUGUUAGCCAAAUUUUCUUGUCAGACAUACACUGAUACACAACCUCACACCUCACGCCUCUCUCUCAUCCCCUCCACCUUUGUCUUGGUUUUCUCAGCAAACUCAGACUAGCGAGCUCUUGUGAGGCGGAAUCUACGGCGGCGGUUUUGACCGGCAAGAGCUUGUGAGGCGAAAUGGACGGCAGCCACACCUCUGUUUUUCUUCGAACCUCAGACCGGCAAGAGAAUCCGGCCACCCACUGCACAUGGCCAGCCUCUCUCCUCUCUCUUUCUCUCUUAUCCCUCCUCUCAAACCAGCAAGAGAAUCCAGCCACCCACUGCACACGCCGUUCCUCCUCCGAUUCCGCCCCAUCCCUUCUCUCUCUUUGCCAUUCCCAUCCCCCACCCAUCUCUUCGCCGCCAAGGACCACCGAUCCUACCACCCAUCUUUUCAAGGCUCCGAUUUUUAUAAGAGAGCAAAUUGAAAUCUCUUCUCCCACUUGACAACAUCUGUUCUGCAACAUCAUCUUCACCCUUAAUCGGUAAAGGUCCGAUGUUCCUAUAUGAAAUUUCUAAAGAGAAACGCUGUUUAAUUUCAGAAGAGAGCAAACUAAAAUCUCUUCUCCCACUUGAUGAUAUCAGUUCUGCAGCAUCAUCUUCUCUCUUAAUCGAUGCAAGUCCAUAUCAUAUGAAGCACAGUGCAUUUAAGCUCAAGAAUGCUAUUAUGCAGCAACAAUAUAAACUCUGUUUACAGAACAAGUGCAACUUUAAGUUCUUUCUCAUAAUGUGGACCUUAAGGGUUAAAAGUGAGAUCCAGAAGACUUAAAUGGACAAGAAGAUUAAUAUUUGCACAGUUCGCUACUGAGGAUAGCUGCUAUAUAAGUGUAAUAGGGAUGACGGUUAAUUCAGAAGAGAUGUGCAAUCCCCAUGGAGAAAAGCUGCAUUUUUGAAGUGCUUUCUAUGUCUACAAAUUUGCCUAAUUGUUCUUUCUCUAGCUACCUAGUCUCUUAAACACAGGUUUCGGGGUAGCUUGAAUGUUGAUUCUAGACCCAAGGCCCUUCUUGAUGUAAUUUAUGAGGAUAGUAGCAAGUCCUCUUCCUUUGUAUUGCCUUGAUGUUCACUGCUUUGUAUUUUAAUAAAAUCUUUUUCUCAUAGCAAAGAAAAAUGAUACAACACCUUGCCACGAGACAAAUUUUUUGGCUUAGGGCAAAGAGAGCUUUUUAGAGUUGCUUUGUAUAUUUAAUUUACAUCCUUCACUAUGCCUCGUUAUACA